GGGUUGUGAGGUUAAGCGACUAAGCGUACACGGUGGAUGCCCUGGCAGUCAGAGGCGAUGAAGGACGUGCUAAUCUGCGAUAAGCGUCGGUAAGGUGAUAUGAACCGUUAUAACCGGCGAUUUCCGAAUGGGGAAACCCAGUGUGAUUCGUCACACUAUCAUUAACUGAAUCCAUAGGUUAAUGAGGCGAACCGGGGGAACUGAAACAUCUAAGUACCCCGAGGAAAAGAAAUCAACCGAGAUUCCCCAAGUAGCGGCGAGCGAACGGGGAGCAGCCCAGAGCCUGAAUCAGUGUGUGUGUUAGUGGAAGCGUCUGGAAAGGCGCGCGAUACAGGGUGACAGCCCCGUACACAAAAAUGCACAUACUGUGAGCUCGAUGAGUAGGGCGGGACACGUGGUAUCCUGUCUGAAUAUGGGGGGACCAUCCUCCAAGGCUAAAUACUCCUGACUGACCGAUAGUGAACCAGUACCGUGAGGGAAAGGCGAAAAGAACCCCGGCGAGGGGAGUGAAAAAGAACCUGAAACCGUGUACGUACAAGCAGUGGGAGCACGCUUAGGCGUGUGACUGCGUACCUUUUGUAUAAUGGGUCAGCGACUUAUAUUCUGUAGCAAGGUUAACCGAAUAGGGGAGCCGAAGGGAAACCGAGUCUUAACUGGGCGUUAAGUUGCAGGGUAUAGACCCGAAACCCGGUGAUCUAGCCAUGGGCAGGUUGAAGGUUGGGUAACACUAACUGGAGGACCGAACCGACUAAUGUUGAAAAAUUAGCGGAUGACUUGUGGCUGGGGGGUGAAAGGCCAAUCAAACCGGGAGAUAGCUGGUUCUCCCCGAAAGCUAUUUAGGUAGCGCCUCGUGAAUUCAUCUCCGGGGGUAGAGCACUGUUUCGGCAAGGGGGUCAUCCCGACUUACCAACCCGAUGCAAACUGCGAAUACCGGAGAAUGUUAUCACGGGAGACACACGGCGGGUGCUAACGUCCGUCGUGAAGAGGGAAACAACCCAGACCGCCAGCUAAGGUCCCAAAGUCAUGGUUAAGUGGGAAACGAUGUGGGAAGGCCCAGACAGCCAGGAUGUUGGCUUAGAAGCAGCCAUCAUUUAAAGAAAGCGUAAUAGCUCACUGGUCGAGUCGGCCUGCGCGGAAGAUGUAACGGGGCUAAACCAUGCACCGAAGCUGCGGCAGCGACGCUUAUGCGUUGUUGGGUAGGGGAGCGUUCUGUAAGCCUGUGAAGGUGUGCUGUGAGGCAUGCUGGAGGUAUCAGAAGUGCGAAUGCUGACAUAAGUAACGAUAAAGCGGGUGAAAAGCCCGCUCGCCGGAAGACCAAGGGUUCCUGUCCAACGUUAAUCGGGGCAGGGUGAGUCGACCCCUAAGGCGAGGCCGAAAGGCGUAGUCGAUGGGAAACAGGUUAAUAUUCCUGUACUUGGUGUUACUGCGAAGGGGGGGGACGGAGAAGGCUAUGUUGGCCGGGCGACGGUUGUCCCGGUUUAAGCGUGUAGGCUGGUUUUCCAGGCAAAUCCGGAAAAUCAAGGCUGAGGCGUGAUGACGAGGCACUACGGUGCUGAAGCAACAAAUGCCCUGCUUCCAGGAAAAGCCUCUAAGCAUCAGGUAACAUCAAAUCGUACCCCAAACCGACACAGGUGGUCAGGUAGAGAAUACCAAGGCGCUUGAGAGAACUCGGGUGAAGGAACUAGGCAAAAUGGUGCCGUAACUUCGGGAGAAGGCACGCUGAUAUGUAGGUGAAGUCCCUCGCGGAUGGAGCUGAAAUCAGUCGAAGAUACCAGCUGGCUGCAACUGUUUAUUAAAAACACAGCACUGUGCAAACACGAAAGUGGACGUAUACGGUGUGACGCCUGCCCGGUGCCGGAAGGUUAAUUGAUGGGGUCAGCGCAAGCGAAGCUCUUGAUCGAAGCCCCGGUAAACGGCGGCCGUAACUAUAACGGUCCUAAGGUAGCGAAAUUCCUUGUCGGGUAAGUUCCGACCUGCACGAAUGGCGUAAUGAUGGCCAGGCUGUCUCCACCCGAGACUCAGUGAAAUUGAACUCGCUGUGAAGAUGCAGUGUACCCGCGGCAAGACGGAAAGACCCCGUGAACCUUUACUAUAGCUUGACACUGAACAUUGAGCCUUGAUGUGUAGGAUAGGUGGGAGGCUUAGAAGUGUGGACGCCAGUCUGCAUGGAGCCGACCUUGAAAUACCACCCUUUAAUGUUUGAUGUUCUAACGUUGACCCGUAAUCCGGGUUGCGGACAGUGUCUGGUGGGUAGUUUGACUGGGGCGGUCUCCUCCUAAAGAGUAACGGAGGAGCACGAAGGUUGGCUAAUCCUGGUCGGACAUCAGGAGGUUAGUGCAAUGGCAUAAGCCAGCUUGACUGCGAGCGUGACGGCGCGAGCAGGUGCGAAAGCAGGUCAUAGUGAUCCGGUGGUUCUGAAUGGAAGGGCCAUCGCUCAACGGAUAAAAGGUACUCCGGGGAUAACAGGCUGAUACCGCCCAAGAGUUCAUAUCGACGGCGGUGUUUGGCACCUCGAUGUCGGCUCAUCACAUCCUGGGGCUGAAGUAGGUCCCAAGGGUAUGGCUGUUCGCCAUUUAAAGUGGUACGCGAGCUGGGUUUAGAACGUCGUGAGACAGUUCGGUCCCUAUCUGCCGUGGGCGCUGGAGAACUGAGGGGGGCUGCUCCUAGUACGAGAGGACCGGAGUGGACGCAUCACUGGUGUUCGGGUUGUCAUGCCAAUGGCACUGCCCGGUAGCUAAAUGCGGAAGAGAUAAGUGCUGAAAGCAUCUAAGCACGAAACUUGCCCCGAGAUGAGUUCUCCCUGACCCUUUAAGGGUCCUGAAGGAACGUUGAAGACGACGACGUUGAUAGGCCGGGUGUGUAAGCGCAGCGAUGCGUUGAGCUAACCGGUACUAAUGAACCGUGAGGCUUAACCUUACAACGCCGAAGGUGUUU
rnacentral:rRNA from 1 species